CAUGUCCCAGGUAGACUCACAUGUCCCAGGUAGACCCACAUGUCCCACAUGUCCCAGGUAGACCCACAUGUCCCAGGUAGACCCACAUGUCCCACAUGUCCCAG